UGUUAUAUAUUUCACAAAAGGGGCUGUUUUGGAAAUAACUCAGCAAAAGGAGGUUUACUUAGUAAAUUAAUUAAUCAAAUGUGACCAUCUUUGAUCAAUCUUUACAAAUAAGGGUUGUUUUGGCAUUACUCAAUAUUUGUAGGGGCUGAAUCGGCCAAUAGGAUCAAAUAAAAAGAGUUAGCGCUUUUGUGCCCAGCGACGGGAAAAGGCACCUCUGGUCCUUAGUUUCCUCUGAUCGAGAAGGCUAAUCACGAACGAAGCAGUGACAGGGAAGGCUCGGUGGUGGAAGACCCGUUGAGAAGAAGAGCACCUCCGGUUCCUUAUUGGUUUGUAGAGGGGGAGUAACGAAAGCAGCAAGGGAUGCUUAAGCAGCUCCUGCGCUUCUUCUGUCUCGGAAGGAAGGUGCGAAGGUGGGGAAUCAAAAGGGGGCUUCCGUCUCCGAUGUUUGCUCCGGGGAAACACCCACUUCGGUCGUUUUGCUCUCGGUGGUUGAAAGGGGUGUUUGUGUGAUUGGCACUCGACAGAAGUAGUAUGAGGAGGAGAAGUAUCAUGGCGGCCGGCAGCCUCUUCUUUUGGCCGGUGGUGAACAGGGGGAAAGAAGGAGGGCAACGUUGUAGCCAUCGAACAAGAGGGGGUGUAUUGGUAGCUCCAAUCGACAGGAAAGGGGGUAGAAGAGAGGCUGUCGCCUCCUUGUUUUCACCGGGAAUCAACACAACUCCGGUGUGUUUCUGAACAGCCAAUCUGAGAAAAAAAAAAAAAAAAAAGAGAGAGAGAGGGGUCGAGAUUUUUGUGGGAAUCAGGUGAGAAUGACUAAUUUCUGCAAUACGUUAUCUUCACUCAGAUUUUGGAUGACUUUUUGAUGGAUUUGUGGUACUUUGAAAUUCUUGGAAGGAUUUUGAGAGUACAAUACAUUCAUUGAUUCAUGCGUGUAUCAGUGUGAUAUAUUUAUUGUGUAUGUGUUAGUAUAAGUAGAAUACAUGAGUUUGUGUGAGAUUGCAGGGAGUGAAUGGUUGAUUUAGUCUAUUGUACUUGCUUGAUUUUCUAUUGACCUUGGGUGUGCACUUCAAAUCCUAUAAGAUUGUAUGUA